UCUCUUCCAACCAAACCCAGGUGGGGGGGGUUGUGGCUGCGAGACCGAACCUGCCCUCCGCCUGGCUCCAGUGCCCCCCAAGAGGGCCAUGCGAGCAGCAGCCCGGGAGACCCUGGAGAACGGGGAUGUGUCGAGAGCAGGUCCCUUUGGCGUGGAGGGUGUUGGCCCUGGGGAGGGCAAGACUGACGCCAGCUCUGUGGCUCCGGGAACUCAGGAUGACGGGGCGGGGGCGUCCGCCAAGCAGCCGGAGAAGCUGGGUGUGGGCAAGGUGGAGAUGAUCAUUAGAAACCACCUGGGCCAGGAAGUGGGCAGCAUGGACGCCAUCGGGCGGACGUCCCCGGAGACGGAGGGGGAAGCUCCCCGGGGAGAGAACGGGUUGGAGGAGGCUUGGGACGGAAGGACCGAGCGGGAGCCGCAGAGCCCGCCCGCCCUUGUGAGUGACGCCCUGGACAGCGGGAUGGAGGAGAGCGUGGCAGGGGAAGGGAGCAGAGAGGGGCCGGAGGGGGAAUCCGGGGCACUGGACGGGGAGGCGCAGGCCCUGCCGGAUGAGAACUGCUGCCUCGAUUCCCCGAGGCCCGAGCCGGACGGGGAGCUGGAGGAACCGAGCAGGGUCGUGGAAGAGGGGGAGAUCUCGGCUGAGCCACGGGGAGCCACGGGAAUGGAUGCGGCAGAGGCUGCCCAGAGGUCUCAGGGCAGGGCAGCAGAACCAGAGAGGCCGGAGGAGCUGGGACCCACCCAGGGGAGAGGCCCUGUGUGGCAGGGGCCCGCUAGGGAACGGGAGCGUCAGGUGUCCCCCGGGACAGAGCGUCCCCAGGCUGCAGGGAUGGGGGAAAGAGCAGAGACAAAGGCUUAUUCGCAGGACUGGAUCCCCUCCCCCCAAGAGGCUAAAGGAGCUCUGCAGGACCAGAUCCCAGCUCUGCAGGACCAGAUCCCAGCUCUGCAGGACCGGAUCCCCUUCCCCCAAGAGGCUAAAGGAGCUCUGCAGGGCCAGAUCCCAGCUCUGCAGGACCAGAUCCCCUCCCCCCAAGAGGCUAAAGGAGCUCUGCAGGGCCAGAUCCCAGCUCUGCAGGGCCAGAUCCCCUCCCCCCAAGAGGCUAAAGGAGCUCCGCAGGACCAGAUCCCAUCAGUAGUCCAGGACCAGGCCCCUUUCUCUCUGCAGGAGGCUGAAGUAUCUAUGCAAAACCAGAUCCCACCUGUGCAGGACCAGAUCCCAUUGUCUCUGCUGGAAGUUAAAACAUCUCUUCAGGGCCAGAUCCUCUCACCACAAGAGGCUAAGGCAGCGCUCCAGAACCAGAUCCCUUCCUCUCUGCAGGACCAGAUCCCUUCCUCGCUGCAGGACCAGAUCCCUUCCUCGCUGCAGGAAGCUAACACAUCUCUGCAGGACCAGGUCCCUUCACCCCAUGAAGCUAAACAUUCAUUCCACAGCCAGAUCCCCUCCAGCCAAGAGCCAAUCCCUGCCCUUCACGGGGAGCUACCACUUACCCCACGGGAGUUGCCAUCCGGCAGAGCACCAGGCCUGGAGCAGGUGCCUUCCCGACCCAGGGAGAGCAUGGCCCUGAAAGGAGGCAGCGGCACUGGCCCGGUUCCAUCGACUGCAGAAGAAACCACCGAAAACCUGGGGAAGCUCCACCCGGAGCAGCAGCCUCUGCUCAAGGAAGCCUCUGGGCUCCAGACGGGCCAGAAGGCGCCACUAGAUCCCGCGGCCAGGAGCCUGCAGCCAGGAGCUGGCACCUUGAAGUCGCUGGCAGCUGUGAGCCCAGAGGCCCCGACAUACACCACCGCCUCUGCCAACACCGCCUCUCCGUGCCAGGGCAGGAGCGCCACCACCCCCCGGCCGGGAGACGGGCAGGAGACGGGCAGACGCAAGCAGAAGACGUGCCAGUGCUGCUCUGUCAUGUGAUCCCGGGCGCUGGCAUGGGGCGGCGAGAGCCCCAGCCGGAGACUGGCUGAGCAGAGGGACCUUGCUCCAGUGACUGGGGGCCCCUGCAGCCGCAGCUCAGCCCCUGGUGUUUGAAUUCCCCCGGGGAGGCUGUGCAUUUGUACCGCCUGAUGUUUUCCUAUGGAGAGGUGCCUGGGGUAGGCUGUUAGUUGGGGGGGCACCUGUCUCCUGCUGGCAAGACAUAGCUGCUGCGCUAAUUUCACGUCUGAUCGGUUCUGUCCCAAGCCCCUGCACAGAGGGGUCCUUUUCCUUCCAUCCCUGCCCCCCUCUGGAGCUCUGAGUGCUGGGCAAAGGGGGGAGGGACGGGGGUCUCCUGUUCCUGGGUGUUCAGGGCCCCAGCUCACACUUCUGCACACGCCUGUAUACAUGCACGCUCGCCCCCCCCCCGCAUGAAUGCACAUGCAUGCACACACGCCCCUGCCCGAAUACAAACCUCUGCAUACAAACACGUGUACACGCGCCCGGUCUCCCGCACACCCCUGACUACGCAGACAAGCCCCCAGGUACAAAUACAUGCUCACAAGUGCACGUACACCCUCUCCCCCCCAGUACAGAAGUACACACGGACACAAUGCUUACCCCUCUGCACACAGACACUGCACACGCAUCACAGCCCAGACCGCUGCACUCACACACACAGGCCCCACACAAUCGCAGGUGCACUUGGGCACACUGGCAGGCACCUGGCCAGAGGCCGGUGCACACCCGGACGUACACACGCCAGCACGUGGGAUCGCUCCGCGUCCAGCUGAGCUGGGCCCGGCCCGGCUGCCUGCUCCCCAACACGUCUCGGCCGAGAGACCUUUCCCAGAGUCAUCGCCGCGCCAGGAGGGGGUGCCCCAGAAACCGCCUCCUCCCACAGUCCUCAGCACAGCUUUCCCGCGCCUGCAUCUGCCCCUUGCAGGACCAAACCCCCUUUCCCAGCUCUGGCUCGGGCAGCCCUGGAGCUCAGUAAUGGGAC
ensembl:lncRNA